AUCCAUCUUUCCUUUGUUCCCUGAACACAUUCAAAAUACUUCAGCUUGUUUACCAUCGAAUAAUCAUGCCUAAAGGGAAUAAAUCUGGUGUAAAACAAUGAUUUAUAAAGAAAAGUGGUAGUGGUAAGAAAAGAGAGGCUUUCAAAGGUAUCCCAAAGCACAGAAAGAUCGCGGAAAAUGCAUCGAAGAGACUUAGAUUGGAGAUCACGUUUGUUGGUGAGGAUGACGUGGUAAGCGAGCAAAUUCCGGAGCCUCGUGCCUCUGUUUCUUCGAGAAAGCUACAGGAAAGUGACAAUGAAAGUAGAUCUGAUGAGGAUAUUUCUCAUGAAAUGUCAGUGGCCAAGGGGUAUCGGCUUGUGCACAUGGAAAGUCUUCAAGAGUUUGUUGAGAGGGUUCACUCAGCCAGCCAAGAUUGUGCUUCAGGGGGAACAGCAACACCAAUGAGCACAGUUACCCCAUCCACAGAAACCCAGGAGGCCAUAUGUGUUACAAGAUGGAUCACCACACUUCUUACAGACGCCUGCACACAUAAACAGGUGUGACCAGCCAAAACAAAGAAACUUGUACAUAUAAACCACCAGUUACAGAAGCUACAACUUCAACUUCAGGCACCAAAAAUGAGGUAGUCAUUGGGGCUUCCAUUGGGGUUGCUGCAGCUGUAAUCCUGAUUGGAUGCAGUGUAUGUUGGUAUUGCAAUUGGUACUCCAAAAGACACAGAAGACAAAGUGAUGCCAAAAAGAUUGCUGAGCUAUCCACUGAAGAAGGAGCAGAGCUUGGGGAAAUUACCUCCCCUCUUUAAUGAUUUCAGCAUAUUAAUUUAUUAAUUAUACUAGCUAUUUUUAUACAAUUAUUUUUAGGUACUUCUCAGAAGUUAACAGGUUACUUUAAGUGCAUUUUGAAUAAGAUUGGGUGGAGAGAUUCUUCAAUGCUUUACUUAAAGUUAACUGUAACUAAGGGUAGACAGCUGCAAGGACUGCAAUACACUGCAGGAAUAUGUUGCAGCGACAAAUCUUGUGUAAAAGUGGAUGUGUCGAAAACGAAGACCAAGAAACGAAGACCUAAGACCCACUGGUCAAAAACGAAGACCCCCUGGUCUAAAACGAA